AGUGAACGCUGGCGGUAGGCCUAACACAUGCAAGUCGAACGGCAGCACAGUAAGAGCUUGCUCUUACGGGUGGCGAGUGGCGGACGGGUGAGGAAUACAUCCGAAUCUACUUUUUCGUGGGGGAUAACGUAGGGAAACUUACGCUAAUACCGCCUACGACCUACGGGUGAAAGCAGGGGAUCUUCGGACCUUGCGCGAUUUCAUGACCCGAUGGCGGAUUAGCUAGUUGGCGGGGUAAAGGCCCACCAACGCGCCGAUCCGUAGCUGGUCUGAGCGGAUGAUCAGCGACAGUGGAACUGAGACACGGUCCAGACUCCGACGGGAGGCAGCAGUGGGGAAUAUUGGAAAAUGGGGGGAAGCGUGAUCCAGCCAUACCGCGUGGGUGAAGAAGGCCUUCGGGUUGUAAAGCCCUUUUGUUGGGAAAGAAAAGCAGCAGGUUAAUACCCCGCUGUUCUGACGGUACCCAAAGAAUAAGCACCGGCUAACUUCGUG
rnacentral:rRNA from 1 species